rnacentral:rRNA from 1 species
CUUGAAACCAUAUAAGAGGUCCAGCCUGCCCAGUGACUAAGUUCAACGGCCGCGGUAUCCUAACCGUGCGAAGGUAGCGUAAUCACUUGUUCUUUAAAUGAGGACUAGUAUGAAUGGCACCACGAGGGUUAUACUGUCUCCUUUCUCUAAUCAAUGAAACUGAUCUCCCCGUGAAGAAGCGGGGAUAAAUUUAUAAGACGAGAAGACCCUAUGGAGCUUUAAACUACGUGACACUAGCUUAUAUUCUACUGUGUUUCAGAAUUAUCACAAUUAUACUAGCUAGGAUGAUUACUAGUUUUAGGUUGGGGUGACCACGGAGCAAAAAUUAACCUCCAUGAUGAACGGAACCUAUUCCUGAGCUAAAAGCUACAACUUUAAGCACUAACAAAUUAACAUUAAUUGACCCAAAAUAUUGAUCAACGAAC